rnacentral:rRNA from 1 species
AGCGUAAUCACUUGUCUUCUAAAUAGAGACCAGUAUGAACGGCUAAAUGAGGACAAACCUGUCUCUUAUAACCAAUCAGUGAAACUGAUCUUCCAAUACAAAAGUUGGAAUAUACACAUAAGACGAGAAGACCCCGUGGAGCUUAAAACAAACCACUAACCCACACCGAAACCUAGUAGAAUGUUUUAAGUUGGGGCGACUUCGGAACAAAACAAAACUUCCGAGCACAGAAUCACCACUUCCAACCAAGACCCACAAGUCUAAGUAAUAAUUGACCCGGCCCAUGCCGAUCAACGAACCAAGUUACCCCGGGGAUAACAGCGCUAUCUUCUUCAAGAGUCCCUAUCAACAAGAAGGUUUACGACCUCGAUGUUGGAUCAGGACACCCAAAUGGUGCAGCCGCUAUUAAAGGUUCGUUUGUUCAACGAUUAACAGUCCU